AACGGGAAACCACAACAGCCACUACAGGCAGAACCGCUAAUGACGGAGACCUUUCAGAAAUGAUGGUUUCAAUCACCAGGUGAAGAACUCUGACCAGCUGAGCUGCUUGCUGAAGGCAAAGGGAAUACAGACUGGAUAGAAGAUAGUUACAAAUGGCAGCUACUACCACACAGAAUGAGUACUGCAACUGUCAUGAAUGCAGACUGUGGGAGGUAAUUAGGUCGUGCGGGUGAGACACUCAUGAAUAGGAUUUAUGUCCUUAGAAGAAGCCAGAGAUCCGGCUAUCUCUCUUCCUAUCACUUGAGAAUACAAGAAGUCAGCAGUCUGCCGUCCAGAAGAGAGCUCUCACCAAACCUGACCAUGCAGGCACCCUGAUCUCAGAAUUCCAGGCUCCAAAGACGAAGCUAUUAGAAGAUCGGAUCCAGCAAAACAAGAGUGAAGCAAAGAAAGAGAACAUGGGAUUCAGCAAGACUCUCAGCGUUUGGUAAUGCCCGUUUCACUGUCCGUGUAGAGGAUUGGGAUGGCCCACAUUUUACUGCCAGCUUCGACAGGUGAUGAUUUCUCUCUUUCCCGAGAGGUAUGUGUGGGAUUGAACCUUUAGGAGAUAUCAAAUCAAUUUCACUUUAUACAGUUCCGAUUUUCAACAUGAAUUUUAAAACCCAAAUUAUUCAUCGCGUAUUUCUACUUUCCCAUUAUAAAGGCGAAAAAACAAAAAGGAUUUGAAAAGAGUCAUUGAGGAAGGGUAACACAAUAAAAAUAACGACGCAGAAAAGGAGCAAAACAGAAUUGAAAGGAGAAAAGCAAAUAUACCAUGCCUUAGCUUAGCAUCAAGACAAGUCCUAACUAGACACCUUGGAAUCCAAAGUGAACAGGAAAUUGUGACCUAUCAUAAAAUUCUGUCAGCUUUUACAGUGAGCUAAGAGUUCCUGGCUUUUCUAAGAAGCCCACGGCUGCACAUCAGAAUGCAGUCCAGUGAAGGGAGAUCUGUUAGGCGCUCAGACACCGUGACUGAAAUAUGCAGCCGUAAUACGAUAUUCGGAUCCAAAAGAUUCACUUAAAGUGCUUAGAAAAGUGGGCAUACAGCUUGUCUCCUAAAUUAUCUUCUAGAAAUGUCUUUUCCUGCCACCAGGACUCUGCUAGAAGCUUUAUGCCAGAUCGAGCAGCAGGAUCAUUUCAGGACUUGGACAAGAGGGAUGCUCUGCUGUUAAUUAGAGACAGCAGUUUAUGUUUCUUGGGUUUGGAAAACAAGCACUGCGUGAAAUGCCAGGACAGGUGGACUGCCAGCGUUCUGACGGGUAUAGCCAGCUUCUUAGGAAGUAAAUUAUAUCUCCUCCAGCUCCUGCAGGCAUGCUUGGGUCAGGACUUGAAGUUCCUCACCACGGAGCACGACAAACGUGGCUUCCCAAGCAAAAGGUUCGCAGCAUCCGUUGCCAGAAGCACAUUAGUACAGCUGAAACACGUCAGUAAUACAACAGAAUAAGAAUCAGUUUCUAAGAACGUGAUCUCCCCAUGUGCCCGCCGAGCUAAUUUACUAUAAAAGGCAGUCUUAUGAAGCCUGAGCAAAUAAAUCAUAUGGAAAGAGUGAUUUAUACUGACUACUUACAUGAGUACAGUUCAAUAUGCAAAGAAAUGUCUUUCCAAGACAGAUUUUUCAAAAGUGAUGUUAAUUAACGUUUCGGAAAUGAAAAACUAGCAAAGCCAUUGUUUCUUUGGGUCAUUCCUAUUUUAUCGCAAUGAAAACAAGCAGACAGCAUACAGGAAAAAUACUUUUCCUUAUCUCUAUUUUGAGAGAAUCAAAAGAUCAAUUAAUUUAAAACUGGUGUCACACAAUUAGGAUAGAAAAUUUAUAUAGGAGGGGCACCUGGGUGGCUCAGUCGGUUAAGU